rnacentral:rRNA from 1 species
GACGUAGGGGGCCAGCGUUGCUCGGAAUUACUGGGCGUAAAGGGCGCGUAGGCGGACAGUUAAGUUGGGGGUGAAAGCCCGGGGCUCAACCUCGGAAUUGCCUUCAAUACUGGCUGUCUUGAGUGUGAGAGAGGUGUGUGGAACUCCGAGUGUAGAGGUGAAAUUCGUAGAUAUUCGGAAGAACACCAGUGGCGAAGGCGACACACUGGCUCACUACUGACGCUGAGGCGCGAAAGCGUGGGGAGCAAACAGG